rnacentral:tRNA from 1 species
GCCACCGUAGCUCAGUUGGCAGAGCAACGCUUUCGUAAAGCGUAGGUCGUCGGUUCAAGUCCGACCGGUGGCU